rnacentral:rRNA from 1 species
AGCGUACACGGUGGAUGCCCUGGCAGUCAGAGGCGAUGAAGGACGUGCUAAUCUGCGAUAAGCGCCGGUAAGGUGAUAUGAACCGUUAUAACCGGCGAUUUCCGAAUGGGGAAACCCAGUGUGACUCGUCACACUAUCAUUAACUGAAUCCAUAGGUUAAUGAGGCGAACCGGGGGAACUGAAACAUCUAAGUACCCCGAGGAAAAGAAAUCAACCGAGAUUCCCCCAGUAGCGGCGAGCGAACGGGGAGGAGCCCAGAGCCUGAAUCAGCAUGUGUGUUAGUGGAAGCGUCUGGAAAGGCGCGCGAUACAGGGUGACAGCCCCGUACACAAAAGCGCAUGUGCUGUGAGCUCGAUGAGUAGGGCGGGACACGUGGUAUCCUGUCUGAAUAUGGGGGGACCAUCCUCCAAGGCUAAAUACUCCUGACUGACCGAUAGUGAACCAGUACCGUGAGGGAAAGGCGAAAAGAACCCCGGCGAGGGGAGUGAAAAAGAACCUGAAACCGUGUACGUACAAGCAGUGGGAGCACAGGUUUACCUGUGUGACUGCGUACCUUUUGUAUAAUGGGUCAGCGACUUAUAUUCUGUAGCAAGGUUAACCGUAUAGGGGAGCCGUAGGGAAACCGAGUCUUAACCGGGCGUUAAGUUGCAGGGUAUAGACCCGAAACCCGGUGAUCUAGCCAUGGGCAGGUUGAAGGUUGGGUAACACUAACUGGAGGACCGAACCGACUAAUGUUGAAAAAUUAGCGGAUGACCUGUGGCUGGGGGUGAAAGGCCAAUCAAACCGGGAGAUAGCUGGUUCUCCCCGAAAGCUAUUUAGGUAGCGCCUCGUGAAUUCAUCUCCGGGGGUAGAGCACUGUUUCGGCUAGGGGGCCAUCCCGGCUUACCAACCCGAUGCAAACUGCGAAUACCGGAGAAUGUUAUCACGGGAGACACACGGCGGGUGCUAACGUCCGUCGUGAAGAGGGAAACAACCCAGACCGCCAGCUAAGGUCCCAAAGUCAUGGUUAAGUGGGAAACGAUGUGGGAAGGCCCAGACAGCCAGGAUGUUGGCUUAGAAGCAGCCAUCAUUUAAAGAAAGCGUAAUAGCUCACUGGUCGAGUCGGCCUGCGCGGAAGAUGUAACGGGGCUAAACCAUGCACCGAAGCUGCGGCAGCGAACGUAUCACCCAAGACAACUUUACGGAGUUGACGAUUGACGGAGCGAAGCGACGUCAAAGCGUUCAUUAAAGUCGAGUUGGCUUAGGGAUACGUUCGUUGGGUAGGGGAGCGUUCUGUAAGCCUGUGAAGGUGGCCUGUGAGGGUUGCUGGAGGUAUCAGAAGUGCGAAUGCUGACAUAAGUAACGAUAAAGCGGGUGAAAAGCCCGCUCGCCGGAAGACCAAGGGUUCCUGUCCAACGUUAAUCGGGGCAGGGUGAGUCGACCCCUAAGGCGAGGCCGAAAGGCGUAGUCGAUGGGAAACGGGUUAAUAUUCCCGUACUUGGUGUUACUGCGAAGGGGGGACGGAGAAGGCUAUGUUGGCCGGGCGACGGUUGUCCCGGUUUAAGCGUGUAGGUGUGUGUUCCAGGUAAAUCCGGUUCACUUUAACACUGAGGCGUGAUGACGAGGCACUACGGUGCUGAAGCAACAAAUGCCCUGCUUCCAGGAAAAGCCUCUAAGCAUCAGGUAACAUCAAAUCGUACCCCAAACCGACACAGGUGGUCAGGUAGAGAAUACCAAGGCGCUUGAGAGAACUCGGGUGAAGGAACUAGGCAAAAUGGUGCCGUAACUUCGGGAGAAGGCACGCUGACACGUAGGUGAAGUGAUUUACUCAUGGAGCUGAAGUCAGUCGAAGAUACCAGCUGGCUGCAACUGUUUAUUAAAAACACAGCACUGUGCAAACACGAAAGUGGACGUAUACGGUGUGACGCCUGCCCGGUGCCGGAAGGUUAAUUGAUGGGGUCAGCGCAAGCGAAGCUCCUGAUCGAAGCCCCGGUAAACGGCGGCCGUAACUAUAACGGUCCUAAGGUAGCGAAAUUCCUUGUCGGGUAAGUUCCGACCUGCACGAAUGGCGUAAUGAUGGCCAGGCUGUCUCCACCCGAGACUCAGUGAAAUUGAACUCGCUGUGAAGAUGCAGUGUACCCGCGGCAAGACGGAAAGACCCCGUGAACCUUUACUAUAGCUUGACACUGAACAUUGAGCCUUGAUGUGUAGGAUAGGUGGGAGGCUUUGAAGCGUGGACGCCAGUCUGCGUGGAGCCGACCUUGAAAUACCACCCUUUAAUGUUUGAUGUUCUAACGUGGACCCGUAAUCCGGGUUGCGGACAGUGUCUGGUGGGUAGUUUGACUGGGGCGGUCUCCUCCUAAAGAGUAACGGAGGAGCACGAAGGUUGGCUAAUCCUGGUCGGACAUCAGGAGGUUAGUGCAAUGGCAUAAGCCAGCUUGACUGCGAGCGUGACGGCGCGAGCAGGUGCGAAAGCAGGUCAUAGUGAUCCGGUGGUUCUGAAUGGAAGGGCCAUCGCUCAACGGAUAAAAGGUACUCCGGGGAUAACAGGCUGAUACCGCCCAAGAGUUCAUAUCGACGGCGGUGUUUGGCACCUCGAUGUCGGCUCAUCACAUCCUGGGGCUGAAGUAGGUCCCAAGGGUAUGGCUGUUCGCCAUUUAAAGUGGUACGCGAGCUGGGUUUAGAACGUCGUGAGACAGUUCGGUCCCUAUCUGCCGUGGGCGCUGGAGAACUGAGGGGGGCUGCUCCUAGUACGAGAGGACCGGAGUGGACGCAUCACUGGUGUUCGGGUUGUCAUGCCAAUGGCACUGCCCGGUAGCUAAAUGCGGAAGAGAUAAGUGCUGAAAGCAUCUAAGCACGAAACUUGCCCCGAGAUGAGUUCU